rnacentral:piRNA from 3 species
UGCACGACGACGAGGUGACGGUCAC